rnacentral:rRNA from 1 species
GAUGAACGCUGGCGGCGUGCCUAACACAUGCAAGUCGAGCGAUCUCUUCGGAGAGAGCGGCGGACGGGUGAGUAACGCGUGGGUAACCUGCCCUGUACACACGAAUAACAUACCGAAAGGUAUGCUAAUACGGGAUAAAAUAUGAAAGUCACAUGACUUUUGUAUCAAAGAUUUAUCGGUACAGGAUGGACCCGCGUCUGAUUAGCUAGUUGGUAAGGUAAUGGCUUACCAAGGCGACGAUCAGUAGCCGACCUGAGAGGGUGAUCGGCCACACUGGAACUGAGACACGGUCCAGACUCCUACGGGAGGCAGCAGUGGGGGAUAUUGCACAAUGGGCGAAAGCCUGAUGCAGCAACGCCGCGUGAGCGAUGAAGGCCUUCGGGUCGUAAAGCUCUGUCCUCAAGGAAGAUAAUGACGGUACUUGAGGAGGAAGCCCCGGCUAACUACGUGCCAGCAGCCGCCGUAAGAC